rnacentral:rRNA from 1 species
UACGAAGGGGGCUAGCGUUGUUCGGAAUUACUGGGCGUAAAGCGCACGUAGGCGGAUAUUUAAGUCAGGGGUGAAAUCCCAGAGCUCAACUCUGGAACUGCCUUUGAUACUGGGUAUCUUGAGUAUGGAAGAGGUAAGUGGAAUUGCGAGUGUAGAGGUGAAAUUCGUAGAUAUUCGGAAGAACACCAGUGGCGAAGGCGACUUACUGGACACAUAUUGACGCUGAGGUGCGAAAGCGUGGGGAGCAAACAGG